AGCUUUGCGCAGUGGCAGUAUCGUAGCCAAUGAGGUUUAUCCGAGGCGCGAUUAUUGCUAUAUGGUUAAUUUAAAAGAAGAAUUCAAAAUUUAAUUUAGAAGCUUGAAUUUUUACAGACACGAAGCAUCCUUU
rnacentral:snRNA from 1 species